AGGCUGGCCCAGGUCCUAGUGCCAGUCCGGCCUAUAGGUUGGGUCAUGACAUCCAGUAUCUCAAGAAACCAAUUUCUUAAAAUUCUUAAAAUUUUUGUUCUUCCUUCACCUUUUCCCUAAUUUCUUCUUUCUUGAGAACCAGACUUUUCCCUAUUUUUUCUUCUCAAUUUCAUUAUUUUCAAUUUCUGCCCUGUUAGGGUUUCUUUUCUCUAUUCUUUCUUGAAAUUUUUGAAAUCCUUAUUUCUGCCUCAA
rnacentral:misc_RNA from 1 species